UCCGGCGGCACAGGAUGGGCCUGCGGCGUAUCAGGUCGUAGGGGGUGUAACGUACCCUCUAGCCUUCAACGCGUACGGGUUGUGGGAGCAAUCGCCCGGAGAUGGAUUCUGAGACACGAAUCCAGACCCUACGGGGUGCAGCAGGCGCGAAAACUUCACACUGCAGGAAACUGUGAUGAGGGAAUUCCAAGUGGUCAGACAAAGUCUGAUCUUUUUGCAACUUUUAAUCGGUUGCAGAAUAAGGGGUGGGAAAGACCGGUGCCAGCCGCCGCGGUAAUACCGGCACCUCAAGUGGUCGUCGCUUUUAUUGGGCCUAAAACGUCCGUAGCCUGUUUGGUACAUUCGUGGGUAAAUCAAUCAGCUCAACUGAUUGAAUUCUGCGAGGACGGCCAGACUAGGGACCGGGAGAGGUAUGGGGUACUCUCAGGGUAGGGGUAAAAUCCAGUCAUCCUGAGGGGACCACCUGUUGCGAAGGCGCCAUACUAGAACGGAUCCGACGGUCAGGGACGAAGCCUAGGGGCACGAACCGGAUUAGAUACCCGGGUAGUCCUAGGUGUAAACGCUGUGGACUUGGUGUUGGGGAUUCUACGAGUAUCCCCAGUGCCGGAGUGAAGAUGUUAAGUCCACUGCCUGGGGAGUACGGUCGCAAGGCUGAAACUUAAAGGAAUUGGCGGGGGAGCACAGCAACGAGAGGAGCGUGCGGUUUAAUUGGAUUCAACGCCGGAAAACUCACCAGAGCCGACGGACAUAUGAAGAUCAGCGUGAUGAGCUUAUUGGAUUGUUCGAGAGGUAGUGCAUGGCCGUCGUCAGUUCGUACCGUAAGGCGUUCUGUUAAGUCAGAUAACGAACGAGACCCCUAUCGUCUAUUUGCUACACGGAUCGCAAGAUUCGUCGCACUAUAGCGAGACCGCUGGCGUGAAGUCAGAGGAAGGUGGGGGCAACGACAGGUCAGUAUGCUCCGAAUGCUCUGGGCUACACGCGCGCUACAAAGGCCAGGACAAUGGGUCUGCCACGCCGAGAGGCGGCGCUAUCCCGAAACCUGGUCGUAGUUCGGAUCGAGGGCUGUAAUUCGCCCUCGUGAAGCUGGAUUUCGUAGUAAUCGCGUCUCAAAAU
rnacentral:rRNA from 1 species